rnacentral:rRNA from 1 species
UACGGAGGGUGCGAGCGUUAAUCGGAAUAACUGGGCGUAAAGCGCACGCAGGCGGCUUUUUCAGUGAGAUGUGAAAUCCCCGGGCUUAACCUGGGAACAGCAUCUGAGACUGCUUGGCUAGAGUACAGGAGAGAGGGGUAGAAUUCCACGUGUAGCGGUGAAAUGCGUAGAGAUGGGGAGGAAUACCGAAGGCGAAGGCAGCCCCCUGG